AUCAAUGUUUCUACUAUCGAUGCGUAGCCCCUUUUAAGCCACCCAGUGAUCUCAGAUUACUUCAUCCAGCUAUACUAAUCGUCAACAACAGGUGUGUUCGGAGAACCGGAUUAGCGAGCUCAAAGUUGGCGCGAUGAUUUGAUCUUGGAUGUGUCAUUUGAUCUUGGAUGUAGUAAGCGAGGACAGUGAACCAACCCUGUCAGAUGACUGUGGUUUGGAGGAAGUCCCUGCAAAGAGGCCGGCAGAGAGGCCUGAUACAGAGGGUGACAUCCGUUUGCUCUAUAAGAGAAGUCUCCAGCAGAAAAUAGAAUAUACUGAGCUAAAGAAACAGAAGCUUCUAGGUGAAAUCGAACUUCAAGCUCUAAUGAGGCAAAAAGUUCAACUGGAAAUCGAGUUGCUACAGAAGGAACUACAGAGCAAAUGAUGACUGGCUUCUGUUGGAUGAGACGGCAAAAGAUGCUCAAAUAAAUCUCAAUGGAAA
ensembl:lncRNA